GAACAAAUGAACUGAACAUGAAAGUUUCAUGUCUUUAUAUCUGAUCUGUAAACUGAUGGAAAACAUUUUGUUCCUAGAAAAGUGUUGAUUGUGUCUUUGUGUGAUUCAUUUUUUAGGUGAAUCUUCUCUGUAUGAAUCAUACAAAGAUCCUGAAGAGAUUCAAAAUGAUCCAGAAGAUGAAAACAAAGGUAGAAUGAUAGAAUCAGUCAAGAAUAAACACAUUUUUCUGUUCAUUUACAUAUAAAUUAUUGAUCUGUGGUGCAAAAAUGACAGAUUUUCUCUAUCAGACAUAUAAGAAAAAAAGAAGAAAAAGAAAAAAAUAUUUAAUUCAAAUUAAGAUGAGACCAGAAGAAAAUAUAAUAAAUGAUGGAUGUUUCAGGUGAAUCCAGGAAGAUUACAUAUUCUUCAAUCAAGCUGAAAGCCAUCACUAAGAAAAGUGAGUAAAUAAACCCAUUUAUUGAACAUUUAUGAUGGAUUUAUUGAACAGUUGAGUUUGAUCAAAUGUUGUUCUGACAGAAAAGAGACAGAAACCAGCAGAGAUGAUAGUUUACUCUGAUGUGAAGACAGGAGCGUCUGCAGGUAAGAUCUGCCUCUACAUGGAAACAUGUUCUCCAUCCAUGCAGCUGUGUCUUUAGAAACGACAGACUGUCAGCUUCUGGGAUGUUUGCUGUGACAACCAAGAAAAUCUGGAUGUUGUUUUCUUUUAGAUGGCAGUCGGCUGUAUGCACAGAUGAUGAAGAGAAACAAAGGAAAAUCCUCUCAUUCAGCUGAUGAGAUGCUUUACUCUGAAAUCCAAUAAGGACCAGCACUUGAUCCACAGAACCAGCAGCAUCCAACAAUCUGAUGGAACAAACGUCUCACCUGUAGGGGGCGCUGAUAAGAGCAGCUGUGUGUUUGCUGGGAUCCAAAUGUUUUCCUCUUUAGUAUUUUUGCUCAGUUUUGUAUUUCAAAUGUGAGCCUUACAGUUUCCUUAAAGCUUUCUGGAUUGUUGGAGUUUUUCCAACAGUAACAUCAACCAGGUCUGUAGCUGCUUGUUGAACUGAACUCUGCAGAAGAAGAGUGAGGCCUUUUAUAGUCAGGCUUUGAAACAAUUCUUCUUUAAUUACUUUUUGUGUUUUUCACCUUCUGAAUAACAUUUUUUUUUUUACUUUUGUUUUUAAGUUCUAAUUAUGCGUGAUGUAACCAAACAAAUUUCAUGUUUUGAACUUAUGUAAAAGCAUUCCCAUUGGUGUUUUAACAAGGGUUAUGCUGUUUUUAGUAAAAAAAAAAAAAAUUGUGUUGGUUUCUAGGACAUAACUUCGGCAGAGCAGCAGGAGUUCUUUAAACAUUUGUCUUUACGUUGUUGUUGAGACUGCUGACACUG